AUUGAACGCUGGCGGCAGGCCUAACACAUGCAAGUCGAAUGGUAACAGGAAACAGCUUGCUGUUUCGCUGACGAGUGGCGGACGGGUGAGUAAUGUCUGGGAAACUGCCUGAUGGAGGGGGAUAACUACUGGAAACGGUAGCUAAUACCGCAUAACGUCGCAAGACCAAAGAGGGGGACCUUCGGGCCUCUUGCCAUCAGAUGUGCCCAGAUGGGAUUAGCUAGUAGGGGGGGUAACGGCUCACCUAGGCGACGAUCCCUAGCUGGUCUGAGAGGAUGACCAGCCACACUGGAACUGAGACACGGUCCAGACUCCUACGGGAGGCAGCAGUGGGGAAUAUUGCACAAUGGGCGCAAGCCUGAUGCAGCCAUGCCGCGUGUAUGAAGAAGGCCUUCGGGUUGUAAAGUACUUUCAGCGGGGAGGAAGGGAGUAAAGUUAAUACCUUUGCUCAUUGACGUUACCCGCAGAAGAAGCACCGGCUAACUCCGUG
rnacentral:rRNA from 1 species